GGUUGCGUUUUUGAGAGAAGAGGCAGAGUUUGUUUUGACUCGACAGCGCGAUCGAAUAUACGCGUACGUGGAAGAUCAUCGCUUCUUCGUCAUCAUGGCAAUCCGCUCGCCCAUGAGCGGCGUCGUCGUCGUCGUCUCAGUUGUUGUCUCAGGAAUCCACGACGAUGGGUCCGCGCGGCAACGCGGGUGAGCAGCGUCGCGAGGUGACCGAUUAAUCCCAGCGGGAUUCAAACACUUUCUGUGCGUGUACGCGAUGUCGCGGUGCUCGGCGAUGCCGAGGCGUCGCCGUCUCCCCGAGCGGAGGAGACGCGGCACGAUCCUCCUGGCCGUCUGCCUCCUCGCGCUGAUUGCCCACGCGAGCGCCGCCGAAUUGAGACGAUUGAUGACGAUUUAUGACAAGACGGAUCAUUGCCCGGUCGAGUGUGCCUGUCUCGGCAAUUUGAUUUCCUGCAGCAAUUUGCAACUGAUCGAGGCACCUAACGGACUGCCACCGUGGACGGAGAUCCUAGAAUUAAAGAACAACAAUAUUGCUAACUUGGAAUUUGACUCAUUACAUCAUUUAACACAACUCAAAAAAUUAGAUGUAAGUGCUAAUAAACUCGAAGAUAAUUUUACUAUCGCCUUGUCGGACGUUGGACAAUUACGCGAACUUAAAGUGAAUAAAAAUCAUUUAACACAAGUGCCAGAUCUUGUAUUUGUUAAGAAUAUUACUCACCUCACACUAUCCCAUAACUUAAUUACUAGUAUAAACGGGUCUGCAUUGCUCAGUUUGAAACACCUUCAAUACCUGGAUCUUAGUGGGAAUAAAAUAAGUGUCCUUCAAAAAGGAGCUUUUCUUGCUCCUAAUCAACUUGUAAAUUUAAAUUUAAAUGCAAACAACAUAAGAAUAAUUGAAAAUGGAAGUUUGGAUAAUCUAACUUUACUAGAAGAACUUCGCUUAAACAAAAACAAUUUAACACAGUUGAAAGAUCUUUUCACAAAUUUGGGAAAACUACGAAAAUUGGAAGUAAAUAAAAACAAUCUGCAACAAAUUCACGGAUUAAGUUUGAAAAAUUUAAAAAGUCUGGAGGAAUUGCAUUUAAAAAGAAAUAGAAUUGACAUGCUGGAUGAUGGAGCUUUUUGGCCACUUAAAACAUUGAUACAAUUACAUCUUGAUUUCAAUAUGCUGACCACUGUGAGAAAGGGUGGCUUGUUUGGGUUGGAACAUUUGCAAAAACUUACUUUGUCACACAAUCAAAUUUCAACGAUUGAACCUCAAGCAUGGGAUAUAUGUAGAGAAAUAUUGGAGAUAGACUUGUCACAUAACGAAUUGACCUCUAUAGACCGAGGUUCGUUCGAAUAUCUAUCAAAACUGGAAAGACUUAAGCUGGAUCAUAAUCAGAUAGCAUACAUCUCGGAGGGAGCAUUUAAUGUUACGACAAACCUUCGAAUUCUGGAACUUAAUUCGAAUAAGAUAUCCUAUAUGGUAGAAGAUAUUGGUGGCGCAUUCUCUCCGCUCGGUCAGUUGUGGAAACUAGGCUUGGCACACAACAAAAUAAAAUCCAUAAAUCAAAACGCUUUCACCGGUUUGAUUCGUGUCAACGAACUUGAUUUAAUCGGAAACAAUGUUACGUCUAUUCAGGAAAAUGCAUUCUUUCCACUGUCUAGUUUGAAGAAACUUAAAAUGAAUACCCAAGCAUUAGUUUGUGACUGUGGACUUCAAUGGCUAAGCAUGUGGUUGCGAGAACAUCAUUAUAGCGAGGCUGAAUUGUUCUGUGGUUAUCCACAUUGGUUGCAGGGCAUGUCAUUAACUCAGUUACAUCAUGAAAACUUUACUUGUGAUGAAUAUCCAAAACCCCGAAUCAUCCAAGAACCUAUGAGUCAAAUGAGUAUCAAAGGAAACAAUGCAACGUUGAUUUGUCGUGCAAGUAGCACCGCUGAUGCACCGCUCCAUUUCAUCUGGAAACAUAAUAAUGUGGAAUUAAACGGGGCGAAUCUGCAGACCAACAUUAGUUCCUCCGAAAGCGGAGCAACCGAAGCAACGUCUAUGUUACAUCUUACUAAUAUCACUCACGCUGAUGCGGGGAAAUAUCAAUGCAUGGUGACAAAUAAUUAUGGAACUACAUAUUCGGCCAAAGCCAUGCUGAACGUAUUGGUUUAUCCGUCAUUCACCAAAAUUCCGCAUGAUAUACGAGCGAAUGCCGGAAGCACCGCUCGUUUGGAAUGCUCCGCUGAGGGACAACCGUCCCCGCAGAUAGCCUGGCAGAAAGACGGUGGAAAUGAUUUUCCAGCUGCAAGGGAGAGACGCAUGCACAUGAUGCCGACGGACGAUGUACUAUUUAUAGUAAAUGUCAAAAUGGCCGACAAUGGAAUUUAUUCGUGUACCGCGCAAAAUUUAGCAGGCAUUAUUAUUGCAAAUGCUACUCUCACUAUAUUAGAAGCACCAUCUUUUGUAAAACCGAUGGAGAACAAAGAAACCAUAGUAGGUCGCUCGAUCGUGCUCGAAUGCAUGGCCAGUGGUUCACCACGUCCAAAAUUAUCGUGGAGAAAGAACGGCAGUCCACUGCAAGCAACGGAACGUCACUUUCUCACUGCCGAGGAUCAGUUAUUGAUCAUUGUUAAUACGAUCGAUAGUGACACCGGUAAUUAUGAAUGCGAGAUGAGUAAUUCAUUGGGCAGUAUUGUUGGCGCGUCGUAUCUUACAAUCAAUCCAGCUCCGACUUCUGUGUUGAACGAUUCUGAAAUAUUGGGCUUAAUAAUCAUAACCGUUGUGUGUUGCGCCGUUGCUACUUCCGUGAUUUGGGUGGUUGUAAUUUACAAAACUAGACGUCGCUUAAAUCUCACACAGGACACCGGUGCCCCGCCAGUGACAACCGUCGUAUUAACUGUACCCGAAGCACAAACGCAACUGUAUCUGGACACGAGUUCGCAGCACAGCAAAGAUAGUGGGACCGGAGAUAGCACUAAUCCCAGCAACGAUCAACUGCAAUUAUGCUUACCCGAAGAAUCCACUAUCGUGACUAGUUCUGCUAAUAACGAAGAAGAAAUGGGAACCAUAAAUGUCGAUGAUCCACUUUUGCGUUAUACAAAUCACGAGCGACAUGCAAACAAGAACGCCGAUAGCACGGUUUAAAGCGGAAACGUGAGCUAGAAUGUAAAAAGAGCUACAGCGUACAACAAUUUUGCAACUAAUAUAGCGCAAAAAAUCUUUCAUCAAGAGACAUAUUAUGAGGGGCAAGGAUUCUCCUACUACUGCCUAAGAAUAAUCUAUAGUGGACGUUGAUCCGACAGUGGAAUCGAGUAUUCGAUAUUAUUGAGAAAGAAACGGAUCAGCGAAUCACGAUAAAAGUACAACAAAAACGAUAUAGAAACACUCUUGUAUGUCAUCAUAAUCGUAUUUAUUACUAACGCGACUCUCGUUAAGCCGAUGUAGCAAAUUUUGGGCGAUACGAAUUGUAAAUAGUUAGAUUAACUAUCCUACUAUAACUAGUAUUCUAGUUUCCUACUAUUAUGGUAGGACUAGUGUCCUACUAUAACUAGUAUUAUUUAAUGCAUGUUACAUACGUUGGGCCUUUUUAGGAAACGCAACGUUACGCAGUUUUCGGACACACGUGAGCUUCGAAUCAGAACGCAAUCUUUUCUGUUAUAAAUUUUAUUUUUAUUAUUUAUUUUAUAUUAUUAUUUUUCGUGAUAUUUGACAAUUAUGAAAUUAAUUAUAAUUAAUUCAUAAGCAUUUUGUUUUAAAAUUUUCGUUAAUCAAUUGAUUAUAUGAAAAAUAUGUACAAUUGAAUGAAUUAUAUAUUGAUGCUUAUAGAGUGCGUCCGAAAACCAUUAACAAAAAUUAUCUUUAUUUAAUAUUAACAAAUAUUUAACUCGAUCAUUGUGUACAAUCGUUCUUUAUUGAUGCAAUUAUUCUGACGCGUGCAAACUAGAAGAUCUAUAAAUUAUAAAACACAUAUAUACAUAUAUACAUUAGAACUUCCCAAAAGUAGAUCAUAUAGAGAUCAUAUAGAGAUUCUGAUAUACUUUAACGAAUUACCUGCACUGUUAAGAACAUAAAAGGUCUCAUUUUAAUGAUUAUCCAAAAUUAUUUAUAUGAUUUAUGUGUUCUUUUACAUUGUGAAAAAAGAUACGGCCGCAAUUUUGCUCAUUGCUGUGUCGUUAUCUCUUCAUCGAAAGGUGAAUUUAGCAUGUGGAAAGAAUGCAAUAUACUCUUUAGAAAUAUACUUUUGAGAGAAGUUCCAAUGAAUAUGUAUAUACCAUAUAUAUACAAUUAGACCAGUCUUUGUGAUAGAUAUAUUUAUUUUAGAAUUAUCAUGCGUAAAAUUAGGCGGCUAUCUAUGAAUAUGCAGAAAAAAAUAUAUGGUUUUAUUCUAAAAAUGCGAUUAUCAACGGGUGAAUGUGUAUUUGAGCACCAAAGCGUUGAUUUUAGAUAUCUUAUCUUCUCUUUUAUUUCUUAUUCAUAGUCGAAUGCAAUGUUAAAUCUCUAUAUAUAUUCUGGAUUAAUCUCUUUUAUUGAUCAAAAUGUUGCU
rnacentral:misc_RNA from 1 species